rnacentral:rRNA from 1 species
CCGCCCCCGAAAUACAGUGGCGGCCGCGCUGUCCGCCCCCUCUGCGUAGUAGAAUCACCUCGCAGUGGGACGCGGCGCGGCCACGCCGUUAAACCCCCCUUCUUUCUCAAGGUUGACCUCGGAUCAGGUAGGAAUACCCGCUGAACUUAAGCAUAUCAAUAAGCGGAGGAAAAGAAACCAACAGGGAUUGCCCCAGUAACGGCGAGUGAAGCGGCAACAGCUCAAAUUUGAAAUCUGGCCCCCGGGUCCGAGUUGUAAUUUGCAGAGGAUGCUUUUGGCGCGGCGCCUUCCGAGUUCCCUGGAACGGGACGCCAUAGAGGGUGAGAGCCCCGUCCGGUCGGACGCCUAGCCUCUGUAAAGCUCCUUCGACGAGUCGAGUAGUUUGGGAAUGCUGCUCUAAAUGGGAGGUACAUGUCUUCUAAAGCUAAAUACCGGCCAGAGACCGAUAGCGCACAAGUAGAGUGAUCGAAAGAUGAAAAGCACUUUGAAAAGAGGGUUAAAAAGUACGUGAAAUUGUUGAAAGGGAAGCGCUCAUGACCAGACUUGGGCCCGGUUAAUCAUCCAGCGUUCUCGCUGGUGCACUUGGCCGGCCCAGGCCAGCAUCAGUUCGUCGCGGGGGAUAAAGGCGUCGGGAACGUGGCUCCUCCGGGAGUGUUAUAGCCCGUUCGCGCAAUACCCUGCGGUGGA